ACAGGGGGAAACCUGAUGCUUCACGCCGCGUGAGUGAAGAAGGCCCUUGGGUUGUAAAGCUCUUUANCGAGGGAAGAGGCUUACUAACCUAAUACGUUAGUUAGGUGACGGUACCUCGAGAAUAAGCACCGGCUAAUUUCGUGCCAGCAGCCGCGGUAAUACGAAAGGUGCAAGCGUUACUCGGAAUCACUGGGCGUAAAGCGCUCGUAGGCGGAUUAGUAUGUCAAUUGUGAAAGCCCAGAGCUCAACUCUGGAAUCGCAGUUGAAACUGCUUUUCUUGAAUACCUGAGAGGGUGGGGGAAUACCUAGUGGAGAAGUGAAAUUCGUAGAGAUUAGGUGGAACACCGGAGGCGAAGGCGCCUGCCUGGCAGUGUAUUGACGCUGAGGAGCGAAAGUGUGGGGAGCAAACAGGAUUAGAUACCCUGGUAGUCCACACCGUAAACGAUGGAUACUAGGUGUUCGGAGAGUUAACCCUCUGAGUACCAAAGUUCACACAUUAAGUAUCCCGCCUGGGAAGUACGGUCGCAAGACUAAAACUCAAAGGAAUUGACGGGGGCCCGCACAAGAGGUGGAGUAUGUGGUUUAAUUCGAAGCAACGCGCAGAACCUUACCUGGCCUUGACAUCGUGAGACCGGUGCCGAGAUGUCCUU
rnacentral:rRNA from 1 species